CCACAAGUCGUAUAGUGGUUUUAGCACUGGAUGAUGACUCCAGAGACCAGGGUUUGAUUCCCAGCUUGACCA